GGGCCUGUAGCUCAGCUAGGAAGAGCGCCGGCGAGAAGAGGGUAAAACCUCGGCUCGGCGAAGCUUUUAACCCGGAUGCCCCGGGUUCAAAUCCCGGCAGGCCCG
rnacentral:tRNA from 1 species